GGGUUGUGAGGUUAAGCGACUAAGCGUACACGGUGGAUGCCCUGGCAGUCAGAGGCGAUGAAGGGCGUGCUAAUCUGCGAUAAGCGCCGGUAAGGUGAUAUGAACCGUUAUAACCGGCGAUACCCGAAUGGGGAAACCCAGUGUGACUCGUCACACUAUCAUUAACUGAAUCCAUAGGUUAAUGAGGCGAACCGGGGGAACUGAAACAUCUAAGUACCCCGAGGAAAAGAAAUCAACCGAGAUUCCCCCAGUAGCGGCGAGCGAACGGGGAGGAGCCCAGAGCCUGAAUCAGCAUGUGUGUUAGUGGAAGCGUCUGGAAAGGCGCGCGAUACAGGGUGACAGCCCCGUACACAAAAGCGCAUGUGCUGUGAGCUCGAUGAGUAGGGCGGGACACGUGGUAUCCUGUCUGAAUAUGGGGGGACCAUCCUCCAAGGCUAAAUACUCCUGACUGACCGAUAGUGAACCAGUACCGUGAGGGAAAGGCGAAAAGAACCCCGGCGAGGGGAGUGAAAAAGAACCUGAAACCGUGUACGUACAAGCAGUGGGAGCACAGGUUUACCUGUGUGACUGCGUACCUUUUGUAUAAUGGGUCAGCGACUUAUAUUCUGUAGCAAGGUUAACCGCAUAGGGGAGCCGGAGGGAAACCGAGUCUUAAUUGGGCGUUAAGUUGCAGGGUAUAGACCCGAAACCCGGUGAUCUAGCCAUGGGCAGGUUGAAGGUUGGGUAACACUAACUGGAGGACCGAACCGACUAAUGUUGAAAAAUUAGCGGAUGACCUGUGGCUGGGGGUGAAAGGCCAAUCAAACCGGGAGAUAGCUGGUUCUCCCCGAAAGCUAUUUAGGUAGCGCCUCGUGAAUUCAUCUCCGGGGGUAGAGCACUGUUUCGGCUAGGGGGCCAUCCCGGCUUACCAACCCGAUGCAAACUGCGAAUACCGGAGAAUGUUAUCACGGGAGACACACGGCGGGUGCUAACGUCCGUCGUGAAGAGGGAAACAACCCAGACCGCCAGCUAAGGUCCCAAAGUCAUGGUUAAGUGGGAAACGAUGUGGGAAGGCCCAGACAGCCAGGAUGUUGGCUUAGAAGCAGCCAUCAUUUAAAGAAAGCGUAAUAGCUCACUGGUCGAGUCGGCCUGCGCGGAAGAUGUAACGGGGCUAAACCAUGCACCGAAGCUGCGGCAGCGACACUCAGGUGUUGUUGGGUAGGGGAGCGUUCUGUAAGCCUGCGAAGGUGGCCUGUGAGGGUUGCUGGAGGUAUCAGAAGUGCGAAUGCUGACAUAAGUAACGAUAAAGCGGGUGAAAAGCCCGCUCGCCGGAAGACCAA
rnacentral:rRNA from 1 species